UACGAAGGGGGCUAGCGUUGCUCGGAAUUACUGGGCGUAAAGCGCACGUAGGCGGCUUUCUAAGUCGGGGGUGAAAUCCUGGAGCUCAACUCCAGAACUGCCUUCGAUACUGGAGAGCUCGAGUCCGGGAGAGGUGAGUGGAACUGCGAGUGUAGAGGUGAAAUUCGUAGAUAUUCGGAGGAACAUCAGAAGCGAAGGCGGCUAUCUGGACCAUUACUGACGCUGAGGUGCGAAAGCGUGGGGAUCAAACAGG
rnacentral:rRNA from 1 species